rnacentral:lncRNA from 1 species
CUGAGUACUGUUAACUUUUUUUUUUAAGUGCAAAGCUGGCCAAACAAUUUAGGAUUCUCCAGAAGGAAAGGUUGAGCCUUUUAUCAAACUUGGAAUUGUUAACUUUACUGCAAAUAUUAAGUUGGAUAGCCAUUCUCAGAAAGUGACUGAUAUAAAAGGGCAUAAGUCAGAAGUCCUUCCCUGGAAUAUACCUCCCAUUUUUAAACAAAUAAAAAGGAUUAGGAGAGGAGGUUGAGGAAGGACCCUUCAAUGAAUCUGGAAACUUUAGUUUAAAAAGAGGGGGGAGGUGAGGAGGAGAGAAGAGAGAAUUGGGAAGUCCUAAGCAGUUCCUUUCUCUAGCCUCAAACCCUUUAAGCCACAACCUUCCAAACGUGUUAUUUGAUUAUCCUUUAGCAUUUAAAAUUUGUCCAAGAACGAUGGCUUCUAAUGUUACUACCUAAGGGAGUGUGAGGAAGAAAGGAGGGCUAACAGCGCAGGUGAGGGCACAGAGAGAGUUGUGGUGACUGAGGGUGACCCCACUGUUCCACUUCUCCUUAAGGAUUUUCAUCCGGAAUAACCCGGCCACUGCGCUGAGUUCAGGAAGUCAGGGCUGUACAUUUCUUUUGAAACCAGACAAUAACCCAGUUCCCUCCGCCUCCCUCCCCUGCACCUUGAUCCUCCUGACGCCGACUCUCGCCCACUUUAAAUGCAUCGAGCUCAUUACCAUCCCAAGAGUAUCAAACAGAUAAAUACGGAACACAUCUACGGACUACGGCUGUGCAGCCUGUUCUAGGCCGUGGGAGAGCACUAAAGAAGACUUUCAAGCCACUCCUCGAAGAGCUUCUGAUCCGUGGGGGAGAUGAAAUCUGCCUUCCUUAUUUACAUGACCCUGGAUGUCUGCCAUUUUGAAGAAUUCCAGGAUAAAGCCUAUCUGAGCAAUGAAUUACUACUUUCUACUAUCCAGCUCAUCUAAUUCAUCAGGUAUUGUUUGCUUCCUGUAUUUCCUGAUUCUGAUCUCCAUUUAAUGGACUGAGAAUACCAAAGCUAUACAUGUAGGAUACAACAUUAUUUACAUGGCUCUACCUUUGCAACCAGGGCACUUUCCCUAGGACCUAACUUGUUUUAGGAUACAGGUAUCAUUUCAGAUACUCUCUUCCUCCACCCCUACCCUUGCCUCUUGUCUUC